ensembl:lncRNA
GGUGUGAAUAACGUAUUGUUCAAUAUCUGUGGCAUACACUUACAUUUGUGAAUUGGAGGCCAAGCUUUGCAGUAAAACCUUUAUCCUUUGCUUUAAAAACACACACUCCUCAGGGGAGAAGGACCCCCUACUUCCCUAGUAUCCACCCUGAAAUUCAAAACCUGAUCAGAACAUAAUUGCUAUCAGUGUUCACCACAUCAACCUCACUCUUCAUGUUUUUGUUUUUUGUUUUUUAUAUUUAUUUAUUUACUUACUUAUUUUUGAGACAGGGUCUACUCUGUCAUCCAGGCUGGAAUGCAGUGGCAUAAUCUUAUCUCACCGCAGCCUCAACUUCCUGGGCUCAAGUGCUCCUCCUGCCUCAGCUCCUCAAGUACCUAGGACUAUAGGCACACACCACCAUGACCAGCUAAUUUUCGUUUUUCUUUUUUUGGAGAGACGGGAUUUUGCCCGGUUGCCCAGGCUGGUCUCGAACUCUUGAACUCAAGCAAUCUGCCUGCUUUGCCUUGGCCUCCCAAAGUGUUGGGAAUGCAGGGGUAAGCCACUGCACCCAGCCUGUUUUUCAUUUUAAAAAAAUUCUUGUGGCAACAGAGACUACAAAUGCUAAAGUUUCUGCAUGCUGCGUUUUGCUCAUAUGGUUCAGUUUCCCAUGACAUUUGCAAAUUCUCAAAACACAGAAGAAAAGAGUCAGGUGGUGUCCUCACAACACUUAUAGAGCAUCCUGUGUCUCUCCAGGCAGUGCCACAGAUACACAGACAGUAGAGGUUCAAUACAUGCUUUUCCUCUCAUUGAAUUCUUCAGGUAGUUCCUUAUAACCUGCUCUUAUUAAGGAGGUCUAAGGAAGCCUUGAGAUCUCUCCAGAAAUAGAGGAGCAUCCAAAAGCUUUGACACCAGGCUCCAAUAUUUCUGAUGGCUUUAAAGGACAUUUUUAGGACAGGCAGGGGGCCUUGAUAAGGCUUUCUAGUUAUAAGUCACGCAGACUUCCUUGCAGAAGCCUCAGACAGGGGAAAUAAGUUAAAUACAGCUGCUUCAGCCUGGGGUGCUCAAUAUUGUCUUUAAUGAUUAAAAAUGCUGACUCCAGUGGGAGCAGAGCACAUGCUGCAGAGAUUAUUAUGGUUUGAAGCAUUUUCUAUGUGAGUGGCAAGGGGCAGGGUAGGAGGGUUGGGGAGGAAGACCAUGAAAGAUGUAAGUGGAUUGAGCAGCUGAGCUGGUGAAGGACAGAGGCAGGCAGGAGAGGGUCUGGGAAGGGGAUGUCCAAUGUCCUCAGGAGCAAAGUUUUAAAAACUGAAGUCUGAAGUUGUUUUCCCUUCUGUAUGUAGCACCCACCAUCCAGUGAAGAAUGUUAGAGACAACAGCUUUCUGUUAGCAGUGCGCUGAGGGAUAGGAGGGAAGCCCGUGUCUGUGCUCUGGAGGGAAGUGGACUGGGGAGAGGUGUGAGCAUGAGAGGUGACUGAGGAAAAGGCUUCCAGUGUGGUGGGGAGCAAGAGGGGACAGUGGCAGCCAAAAUGGGCUUGUGGAACUUGUCAACAUGAUCCCUGGCUUCUCAGAAAUCCUAGGAGUUAGGGCUACAUUUCCUACAUCCAUGCAAGAUGGAGGAGGGGAGGUCAUUGUGAUAUGAUUUUUAAGGAAAGACUUGAGCUGGAAUAAUGAUAAACUAAUUGGAAAAAAAAUGCUGAAAUAGUCUGGGCACGGUGGUUCACAGCUGUAAUCCCAACACUUUGCGAAGUCAAGGCAGUAGGUUCACCUGAGGACAGGAGUUCAAGAACAGUCUGGGCAACAUAGUGAGACCCUGUCUCAAAAAAAAAAAAAAAAAAAAA